rnacentral:rRNA from 1 species
AGUGAACGCUGGCGGUAGGCCUAACACAUGCAAGUCGAACGGCAGCACAGUAAGAGCUUGCUCUUACGGGUGGCGAGUGGCGGACGGGUGAGGAAUACAUCGGAAUCUACUUUUUCGUGGGGGAUAACGUAGGGAAACUUACGCUAAUACCGCAUACGACCUACGAGUGAAAGCAGGGGAUCUUCGGACCUUGCGCGAUUGAAUGAGCCGAUGUCGGAUUAGCUAGUUGGCGGGGUAAAGGCCCACCAAGGCGACGAUCCGUAGCUGGUCUGAGAGGAUGAUCAGCCGCACUGGAACGGAAACACGGUCCAGACUCCUGCGGGAGGCAGCAGUGGGGAAUAUUGGACAAUGGGGGCAAGCCUGAUCCAGCCAUACCGCGUGGGUGAAGGAGGCCUUCGGGUUGUAAAGCCCUUUUGUUGGGAAAGAAAAGCAGCAGGUUAAUACCCCGCUGUUCUGACGGUACCCAAAGAAUAAGCACCGGCUAACUUCGUG